CAACGCUAUUCGUCCGCAGAGCAAAGGCGCAAGGGAGAACAGUAGAGAGUAGGAGCGAGGGAGCGAGAGAGAGAGAGAGAGUCAGAACACGAGGGUUGCCCCCGUGAAUUAAUUUCUCUCUAAUCAAUAAAAAAGAAAAAGCCCAGCCCCGCACAAAAUCAUUAGGACCGAUAUUUCUCUACCCCUCUCUGCGCUGCUUUUCCCCAGGACGCUGCCACGAGGACAGUCGGACUCUCGCGCAAGUGGCUUAAAGCUCUCGCUUUGGAAAUGACAGCGAACACAAAGAUUGUGAUUUGAGAAGGGGGAAAGGGGAGUGUAGCUAGCCUACAGCUGCGGAGAGGAAAGGUGAAAAGACACAUGGAGGAAAAGAAGUUAAGUCUGCAGGACGCAUAUCUGAGCCAUCCCCACCCGUCGUCCUUCUUGUGUUUUUUUGCGGAUAUGAAAAUUUACCAGCGCUUCCAUCGGUGAACGUCUCCAUCCCCGCCAUGCGAACAGCCUGUCUGGACAAGAGAGGGAUGGAGAGCAAAAAGAUGGGGGCGAGGGUACGGGGGAGGCAGAGAGGUUUCCAUGGCGACCCGGUGGCUGGGGUGCUGCUGCUGCUGCUGCUGCUGCUGCUGAGGAGGAGGAGAAAGAAGCGCGUGCAUGAGAGAGCGAAGGAGACGGUCGUUUAAACGAGAGCCAGGACCGGUCACGACACAUCUGCAGUAAUUAGCAAUCAAAAGCAUUUUAAAGAUGUAAUGCAGCCGCACAAAGCUCGAGGUAAGUUGUCGUAACGGUGCCAGCCGGUCGUGGGAUGUUUAUGGCGCUGAUUUACUUCGCAGGUGCUAAAUGUUUAAAAGGCCCAGUGGCUUUUACACAUUUGACCCACGUGGUGGAGCGGCCGCAUAACGUCUAAUUAAAUACGGAAUAUCUAAUUAGAAAAGUUCUUCGCGCAUUAACGUGAAACCACUUGUCCUCUGGGGGACGUUGUCCUGCAACUUCGUGACGUGACAGGUCUAUGUGACAUGACAGUAGGCGCUGCUGUUUUGAAUAAAACAGACUCAUUCAAUAUGCGAUUCAUCGAUGUGCUGCCACCUGCAGGCCACGACGACGCAGAGCUCCGUGCGAAGCACGAGCAGCGCGACCUGCGGCGCCUCGUGUCCACGCCUUCCUAAGACUCCGUCGCACGUUGUAUUUGAUUCACCAGCCUGAAUGUAAUUAAAUUAAGCAGGUGUUUUGUUUUUUUUAGAUUUCGUGCAUUAGAUGUGUUUUCAUUUAUUAGGGAAUGUGUAUGUCAUCAGAAUAAAAAUACCUACCUGUUAGAAA